GGUGAGGGGCAAGGUACCUAGAGAGUGGAUGUUUUGAGCUAUUUAGUGUCUCCAAUACCCCCAUUGAUUUCCUAUCCUGAAAAUAUGAGCUCCUACCUGCUGUCUUGUAGGAAAUGUUCUCCCCAUUGGUCCAUGAGACACAAUGUCUUCCUUCUCAAUGGCCCAUAACAGCACCAUCCCAUUCUAUACUGCCAGCACUUCUUAGGUUCCUUUCCAAUUGGCCAAUGUAUUACUUCCAUUGGAUGUAUAAUGCCACUCUUUCCACUGACUGAAGGCCAACGUGCCCCCCAACAUCUUGGUGUUUUUCCUAAAACCGACCUAACUUCUUCCCCUUCCUAGUCUGCCAAUGUUAUUAAGUCUACGUGUUUCUCCAUUCAACUCUUAGGGGAACUGGAAAUAGACCAACAGUAAAGGGGUUCUCUUAGUAGCACUCCAUCUUACCAUGGAAUUAGUGGGGCUGGGGGCAAAGAAAAUUCUGUAACUCUUAUCUGAAUGCAUUUAAUACAGGUGUGGGAGACUGAUAGCUCCUGAUUAGAAAAGGAGCCUGCAGAGAAAGUGAGAUGCUGAGAUUUUUGGCUAGAUUGUUACCCACAAUAAGCAACAGGAAAUUGCCUCAAUCAUUUAAAGCUGGCAAUAUCAGGGACUAGCACAUUCCAUGGUCUCAUGGAUGCAGAGACUGAGUAUACACAAAAUGGAUACAAAAGAUAAAGGGUAUAGUAAUAACCCAUGACUGUUGUUCUAAAAGUGACUUUUUGAUUUUCCCUACAGACAGGAAAUAGUGGUAGCUGGUUCUUUCUCCAAGGCUUCUGUGCCUACCCCAGCUAUCUCCUGUCCAUAACCUUGUCUACACCCUUGACCUACUUUUCUUGUAACAAAGGCUUGGGGAGAGGGGUAACCAACUAUUGACUUUAUACUUUUACUAAAGUAUAAAACAUAUAGGAAAAUCAUUCUAGAACCAACCCUGUGGAGCACCAAGGAAACAUUCCUCCCUCCACUUCUUUUUAACUUCCAUCUCCCACAGCCAACCUGAGGCCUGACUCAGAAUGUUUUUCUGGGCUGAGAGCCACCUCUUAAAGCACAUGGCCCAUAAGCUGUAGUUGGUAGGAGGGGAACAAGGGUGAAUCCAUACAAGAUCUAUCUGCCUUGCAAUUUUUCUAUCAAAAUUAUCUGCUGGGAUUUUCUCCCAUACAGAGAUUUAACUACUGCCCCAAUGUCCAAGGCUAGUUUCUCACAGCAGAGAGACAGAAAUGUACCUAAGUUCACGGAUGGGAAAGGCAAAAGGGAAAUGCAUUCAACAAAUGUGACCAGCACUUUUCAUGUGCCAGGAACUUCCCAAAGUGUUGGGGACACAAUAUUGAAUAAAACAAAACUCUUGCCCUC
rnacentral:lncRNA from 10 species